CAAGUCGAACGCUGAAGCACUGUGCUUGCAUGGUGUGGAUGAGUGGCGAACGGGUGAGUAACACGUGAGUAACCUGCCCCUGACUUCGGGAUAAGCCUGGGAAACUGGGUCUAAUACCGGAUAUGACCUGCUGCCGCAUGGUGGUGGGUGGAAAGUUUUUUCGGUUGGGGAUGGGCUCGCGGCCUAUCAGCUUGAUGGUGGGGUAAUGGCCUACCAUGGCGACGACGGGUAGCCGGCCUGAGAGGGCGACCGGCCACACUGGGACUGAGACACGGCCCAGACUCCUACGGGAGGCAGCAGUGGGGAAUAUUGCACAAUGGGGGGAACCCUGAUGCAGCGACGCAGCGUGCGGGAUGACGGCCUUCGGGUUGUAAACCGCUUUCAGUAGGGAAGAAGCCUUUCGGGGUGACGGUACCUGCAGAAGAAGUACCGGCUAACUACGUGCCAGCAGCCGCGGUAAUACGUAGGGUACGAGCGUUGUCCGGAAUUAUUGGGCGUAAAGAGCUCGUAGGUGGUUGGUCACGUCUGCUGUGGAAACGCAACGCUUAACGUUGCGCGUGCAGUGGGUACGGGCUGACUAGAGUGCAGUAGGGGAGUCUGGAAUUCCUGGUGUAGCGGU
rnacentral:rRNA from 1 species